GAAGCGACAUCUAGAAUUGCAAAAUUUUUGGUGAUAAGUGUUAUCAAAGUGACUCUGGAGGUCGCCUUUUCUUUGCCAAUUUAUUUUUCAACUGUCCUUUGACCAAUCGAGGCCAUGAGAUUUAUUUUUGCAAUUUGCUUUUUUUGCAUUGUCUACGCCUGCUAUGACACAAAUGAUUGCUGCUACCAUCCUUGUUACAAACAGAAUUGUUGCACCAAUACGACUGUCCCAGAUUGUUGUUUUAUUGUAACUCCUUGUAUUACACUCAACUGUGAUCCAUAUUUUUUCACCUGUGGCGGUUGUAAAAAUUGGAUCGGUUUCCGACCAAUAGACCCAUGUGAAGGCAAAUGCCAGAAACGAUCAACAUGGGUUAGAGAAACCUGCGAUGUGAACAGUUGUACCAACACAACGGAAAUUGAUUGUACUAAUUGCACGACCGAUUUUUACAAAACCUACCAAAGUUAUAUCAGAUGUCGUGGUUGUUUUUACAUCGAGGGUUAAAAGUGUGCUCUUACUUAACUUAGAUUAGGUUAUCGUAAUGUUAAGUCGUCAUUUAGAUUUUUACUCUUAAAGUGUUAUCACCAAAAGUAGAUGUGAAGGCCUUGUAAUUUUGUAACAAUUUAGUGGCAUCUUUGAUACAAACAACUUCGACCAUGAAAGUUUUUGUUUGGUUUGUAACAAUUUUGGCACACUUUUCAACCAUUUAUGCUUGUUGUAACAGUUGUAACACUUGUCACCAACAAUGUGCAACUGUUGUUUGCGUAAACCAAUGCCAACUCACUUGUUGCAAUACAACAACACCUUGCCCUUCAACAACCAAAGCUCCCACUUCUGUUACUACAAGUAGGUCAACAUCAACAACUAAAGUAACACCACGACCGGAACGUUUAGAAACACACGAAAGCAAAAUGCACAUGAACGUCACUUCGACAAACGUAAUCAACAACAUGAACACCAUGAAUGUCAACAUCAACAUCAACAAAACCAUCGACAACAAUAUUGUUAGCACCAAAAGUAGACAACAACCAACUGAAACUAGAACAAUAGUAGUACCAAAGCUAGUACCAGUGACGAUUCUUGUACCUACAAAUACUACAACACCUGUAACACCAACAACAACAACAACAUCAACAGCGAAACCACACUCUGAAAAGUGCUGCAUUGUCAUUAUCCCAUGUGUGUCUUAUGGGUGUAAUCCGUACCAUUAUAGGUGCCAUGGGUGUCAUGGUAGUUACGGCUACGUUCCUCUCAACCCAUGUAGUAGUGGGUGUCAUAAAAAGGAAACGUGGGACCGGGAAAAGUGCCAUUUAGGCCAAUGUGUUUCACACAAAGUUGAUUGUUCGUACUGUGGGCACGAUUUUUACCAAACUUAUGGCGGGUAUUCGAGGUGCCAUGGGUGUUUUCAGGGAUAUGGUUAGAAAAAUUUGUGUCAAAUUAUAGUACUAUUUAGAUAGUGGUUAAGUAAUAAAAAUUUGGGUCAUCUUAUUUUCUUUUUUUUUAAUAAAUAUACAUGUUCUAAAUA